rnacentral:lncRNA from 1 species
AUGCCUCGCUGUAUGUCUCUCUCAAAUGUCAAUAUGCCUUGUAUACUGUUGUUCAGGUUAGUUAUCAUUGUUUUAGUUCACAAUGGAGCCCCUAGUUCCACUCUUCAUACCCCUGAUAACUCCUUUGUCCCACCUCCCACACAUGCGGUGACCUCACCCAUUACUACCAGCAUGUCCAGAGAUACAACCUCUCUCAUCAUCACCCAGUGCCUGGGCUUACCUCCGCUGUACCCGCACCCCACCAUACCCCUGUCUGCGCAUUAUGCCCUGAAUAUAUUCUACCAUGCCCAGAAACCUGCUCCUCUUAUUCUCUGUCCCCAACGCUCUAGGCGACCAGUUUUGAUAGCCUUUAGCCGCACCCUCAUACUACUCCUUCUCUGUUCCGCGGGUGAUGUGGAGGUAAACCCAGGCCCUGCAUGUCCCCAGGCACCCUCAUUUGUUGACUUCUGUGUUCGAAAAAGCCUUGGUUUCAUGCAUGUCAACAUCAGAAGCCUCCUCCCUAAGUUUGUCUUACUCACUGCUUUAGCACACUCUGCUAACCCUGAUGUCCUUGCUGUGUCUGAAUCCUGGCUCAGGAAGGCCACCAAAAAUUCAGAGAUUUCCAUACCCAACUAUAACAUCUUCCGUCAAGAUAGAACUGCCAAAGGGGGAGGAGUUGCAGUUUACUGCAGAGAUAGCCUGCAAAGUAAUGUCAUACUUUCCAGGUCCAUACCCAAACAGUUCGAACUACUAAUUUUGAAAAUUACUCUCUCCAGAAACAAGUCUCUCACGGUUGCCGCCUGCUACCGACCCCCCUCAGCUCCCAGCUGUGCCCUGGACACCAUUUGUGAAUUGAUCGCCCCCCAUCUAGCUUCAGAGUUUGUUCUGUUAGGUGACCUAAACUGGGAUAUGCUUAACACCCCGCCAGUCCUACAAUCUAAGCUAGAUGCCCUCAAUCUCACACAAAUCAUCAAGGAACCCACCAGGUACAACCCUAACUCUGUAAACAAGGGCACCCUCAUAGACGUCAUCCUGACCAACUGGCCCUCCAAAUACACCUCCGCUGUCUUCAACCAGGAUCUCAGCGAUCACUGCCUCAUUGCCUGUAUCCGCUACGGAGCCGCAGUCAAACGACCACCCCUCAUCACUGUCAAACGCUCCCUAAAACACUUCUGUGAGCAGGCCUUUCUAAUCGACCUGGCCCGGGUAUCCUGGAAGGACAUUGACCUCAUCCCGUCAGUUGAGGAUGCCUGGUCAUUCUUUAAAAGUAACUUCCUCACCAUUUUAGAUAAGCAUGCUCCGUUCAAAAAAUGCAGAACUAAGAACAGAUACAGCCCUUGGUUCACCCCAGACCUGACUGCCCUCGACCUGCCCACAUCCUGUGGCGGACUGCAAUAG